rnacentral:rRNA from 1 species
AUGGGGCUCUGGACCUUUAAUCAGGCAUUAGCACAUGGAGAGCUAAUGAGGAUGAUUGUGUUGCAUGAAUUGGCAUUCUCAUUGGUGGAGUACGAUGGAUUUGGAAGAUUUGUCUCCAGUCUAAAUCCUAGCUUCAAGAUGAUAUGUAGAAAAACAGUGAAGGAGGACUGCAUGAAAGCAUUUAAGGAAGAGAAGAGAAUUCUGCAAAGGAUGUUCCAAAACUCCAAAUCCAAGAUUUCUUUGACUACGGAUCUGUGGACAUCAAAUCAGACAGUGGGGUACAUUUGCGUCACAGCUCACUUCAUUGAUGAGGAGUGGAAGCCGCAGAAGAGGAUAGUGAAAUUCGCAGCUAUGGAGACGCCGCACACAGGAGCUGCAAUGUUCAACGUCAUGGUGAAUUUCAUAAGAGAGUGGAAUAUUGAAGAUAAUCUCUUUGCUAUGACGCUAGACAAUGCAUCGAACAAUGGUGCAAUGAUGAAGCUGUUGAAGGCACAUCUCCUGCUUAAGAAGAUGUUACCUGGUAGUGGCAAGUUGUUUCACCAACGUUGUGCCGCCCAUGUCAUAAGUCUGAUAUGUCAAGCCGGAUUGAACUUCCUUGGUCCAGUAAUCAACAUGAUGCGUGAGAGUGUCAAAUAUAUUCGAAGCUCACCAAGUAAAGGAAAAAUUUCAAGAAAUCGUUGCGUAGCAUGGUGUAUCAUGUGGGAGAACUCCAAGUCUUGA